rnacentral:tRNA from 1 species
CAAAGAAUAGUUUAACUUAGAAUCCUAGCUUUGGGAGUUAGGGGUGGGAGUUAAAAUCUCCUUUCUUUGA